rnacentral:rRNA from 1 species
GCGACCCCAGGUCAGGCGGGACUACCCGCUGAGGGGAAGCAUAUCAAUA